rnacentral:rRNA from 1 species
CCUACGGGGGGCAGCAGUGAGGAAUAUUGGUCAAUGGGCGGAAGCCUGAACCAGCCAAGUAGCGUGCAGGAUGACGGCCCUACGGGUUGUAAACUGCUUUUAUACGGGAAUAACGCGCCUUACGUGUAGGGCUUUGCAUGUACCGUAUGAAUAAGGACCGGCUAAUUCCGUGCCAGCAGCCGCGGUAAUACGGAGGAUGCGAGCGUUAUCCGGAUUUAUUGGGUUUAAAGGGUGCGUAGGCGGGCUUUUAAGUCAGCGGUAAAAAUUCGGGGCUCAACCCCGUCCGGCCGUUGAAACUGGGGGCC